rnacentral:rRNA from 1 species
CCUACGGGUGGCUGCAGUGGGGAAUAUUGCACAAUGGGCGCAAGCCUGAUGCAGCCAUGCCGCGUGUGUGAAGAAGGCCUUCGGGUUGUAAAGCACUUUCAGCGGGGAGGAAGGCGUUAAGGUUAAUAACCUUGUCGAUUGACGUUACCCGCCGAAGAAGCACCGGCUAACUCCGUGCCAGCAGCCGCGGUAAUACGGAGGGUGCAAGCGUUAAUCGGAAUUACUGGGCGUAAAGCGCACGCAGGCGGUCUGUCAAGUCGGAUGUGAAAUCCCCGGGCUCAACCUGGGAACUGCAUUCGAAACUGGCAGGCUAGAGUCUUGUAGAGGGGAGUAGAAUUCCAGGUGUAGCGGUGAAAUGCGUAGAGAUCUGGAGGAAUACCGGUGGCGAAGGCGGCCCCCUGGACAAAGACUGACGCUCAGGUGCGAAAGCGUGGGGAGCAAACAGGAUUAGAUACCCGUGUAGUC